rnacentral:rRNA from 1 species
ACUCAAAUGAAUUGACGGGGACCCGCACAACCGGUGGAGCGUGUGGUUCAAUUCGAGACAAAGCGAAAAACCUUACCAGGGCUUGACAUACUACCGUUUUAUACCUAUGGAAACACUGGUAGAUCCGUAAGGAUGGUAGUACAGGUGUUGCAUGGCUGUCGUCAGCUCGUGCCGUGAGGUGUUCCCUUAAGUGGGGAAACGAGCGCAACCCCCGUCCAAUGUUACAUAUUCAUUGGAGACUGCCCCAUUUUUUGGGGAGGAAGGAGGGGUAGAUGUCAAGUCAGCACGGCCCUUAUGCCCUGGGAUACACACACCCUACAAUGGCGAAUAACAACGUGUUGCUAGCUAGUAAUAGUACGCUAAUCACUAAAAUUUCGCCUCAGUUCAGAUUGAGGUCUGCAACUCGACCUCAUGAAGUCGGAAUCGGUAGUAAUCGCGGAUCAGAAGGCCGCGGUGAAUACGUUCUCGGGUCUUGUACACACCGCCCGU